rnacentral:tRNA from 1 species
GUUUUAAUAGUUUAAAUAAAAACAUUGAUCUUGUAAAUCAAAAUUAAAAUAAUUUUUAAAACU